AAGCCCCGCAAGGGGUAAGUAGAGUGGCAAACGGGUGAGUAACACGUGGGUGACCUGCCUUCGAGUGGGGGAUAACGUCCCGAAAGGGACGCUAAUACCGCAUAACAUCCUGCCUUUGAAGAGGUGGAGAUCAAAGCUGGGGAUCGCAAGACCCGGCACUUGAAGAGGGGCCCGCGUCUGAUUAGCUAGUUGGUGGGGUAACGGCCUACCAAGGCAACGAUCAGUAUCCGGCCUGAGAGGGCGGACGGACACACUGGGACUGAGACACGGCCCAGACUCCUACGGGAGGCAGCAGUGGGGAAUUGUUCGCAAUGGGCGCAAGCCUGACGACGCAACGCCGCGUGGAGGAUGAAGAUUUUCGGA
rnacentral:rRNA from 1 species